rnacentral:rRNA from 1 species
AUACGUAGGGGGCGAGCGUUGUCCGGAAUGAUUGGGCGUAAAGGGCGCGUAGGUCGGCCUGAUAAGUCUGGAGUGAAAGUCCUGCUUUCAAGGUGGGAAUUGCUUUGGAUACUGUUGGGCUGGAGUGCAGGAGAGGAAAGCGGAAUUACCGGUGUAGCGGUGAAAUGCGUAGAGAUCGGUAGGAACACCAGUGGCGAAGGCGGCUUUCUGGACUGUAACUGACGCUGAGGCGCGAAAGCGUGGGGAGC